rnacentral:rRNA from 1 species
GCAUAUCAAUAAGCGGAGGAAAAGAAACUAACAAGGAUUCCCCUAGUAACUGCGAGUGAAGCGGGAAAAGCUCAAAUUUAAAAUCUGGCGGUCUUUGGCCGUCCGAGUUGUAAUCUAGAGAAGUAAUGCCCGUGCUGGACCGUGUAUAAGUCUCCUGGGAUGGGGCGUCAUAGAGGGUGAGAAUCCCGUCUUUGACACGGACUACCAGUGCAUUGUGGUAUGCUCUCAAAGAGUCGAGUUGUUUGGGAAUGCAGCUCAAAAUGGGUGGUAAAUUCCAUCUAAAGCUAAAUAUUGGCGAGAGACCGAUAGCGAACAAGUACCGUGAGGGAAAGAUGAAAAGAACUUUGGAAAGAGAGUUAAACAGUACGUGAAAUUGCUGAAAGGGAAACGCUUGAAGUCAGUCGCAUUGGCCAGGGAUCAGCCUUGCUUUUGCAUGGUGUACUUUCUGGUUAAUGGGUCAGCAUCAAUUUUGACCACUGGAAAAGGCUCAAGGGAAUGUGGCAGCUUCGGCUGUGUUAUAGCCCCUGUUCACAUACAGUGGUUGGGAUUGAGGAACUCAGCACGCCGCAAGGCCGGGUUUCGACCACGUUCGUGCUUAGGAUGCUGGCAUAAUGGCUUUAAGCGACCCGUCUUGAAACACGGACCAAGGAGUCUAACAUGCCUGCGAGUAUUUGGGGUGGAAAAACCCAAGUGCGCAAUGAAAGUGAAAAGUUGAGAUCCCUGUCGUGGGGGAGCAUCGACGCCCGGACCAGAACUUUUGGGACGGAUCCGCGGUGGAGCAUGUAUGUUGGGACCCGAAAGAUGGUGAACUAUGCCUGAAUAGGGUGAAGCCAGAGGAAACUCUGGUGGAGGCUCGUAGCGAUUCUGACGUGCAAAUCGAUCGUCAAAUUUGGGUAUAGGGGCGAAAGACUAAUCGAACCAUCUAGUAGCUGGUCUG